rnacentral:misc_RNA from 1 species
GAUGAAGAACGUAGCGAAAUGCGAUAAGUAAUGUGAAUUGCAGAAUUCAGUGAAUCAUCGAAUGUUUGAACGCACAUUGCGCCCGCCAGUAUUCUGGCGGGCAUGCCUGUUCGAGCGUCAUUACAACCCUCAGGCCCCCGGGCCUGGCGUUGGGGAUCGGCGGAGCCCCCCGUGGGCACACGCCGUCCCCCAAAUACAGUGGCGGUCCCGCCGCAGCUUCCAUCGCGUAGUAGCUAACACCUCCCGACUGGAGAGCGGCGCGGCCACGCCGUAAAACACCCAACUCUUCUGAAGUUGACCUCGAAUCAGGUAGGAAUACCCGCUGAACUUAAGCAUAUCAAUAAGCGGAGGA